AAAUUCAUCUGAUCCCGCUGGAGCUGUCGGGGGAGGGCAGAGGGGAGCUGCAACUCUUGCAAAGAACCUCCGAGCUGGACAAUCCAUCUCCCGGCUGCCAGGUGUGGCCAGAGGGGAAGGUGAGCCGAGUAAUGUCAUCAGAGCCUUGAGACAUUGGGGGCUCCAGCCGGGAAUACCACAGACGGUUUGCUAUGGAUGAAGACUCCUCUGGAGAAAGCUCACAGGAAGGCUGCUGUGAGAAAUGAAGUCCCUUGCUGUUUCCCCGAUUCCUUCAUCAAGAGGAGCUAAAUGAAGUCACUGCACAUUUGAACGGGGGCCAUUAAAGCGCAGCCUCUGACCAGUUCAGAGGCAGACGUGGGCUUGGACGGCCAGUGACUGAACGGCGGCGGCAUGGAAAAUCUGAGGUGCUGGAUGGUUGAAAUAAAGCUCCUGUGGGAGGGUUAUGUGUGCCUCACUCAACAGUGCUCCCCGACGGGGGCCCAGGGUGUGCACCUGAGCUGUGAAUAGGCUUGUUCAUUGACCGGGGCUCCCCGUUGGAAGAGAGAGGCUUUGGACCAAGGAAUGGGGGACAGCUCUCUACCGACGGUUUCCACUGAAGGAUGAGGAAUCACCGCCUGUAGCUCCCUGGAAAGCAGAAUCAGGUGGUGCAGGUCAGGGAGAUCAGCU